AGCUUAGUGGUAUAGCUUAGUUAUUAUACCUGAAUAGAUGCUUUAGGAGAUUAUAGGUUCAAAUCCUAUCUCUGCUA